AGGAUGUGAUUAUAACAACAAUUUAUUAAUGUGAAAUAUCAUUUGCCAUUACGAACAAGUGACGAACAAAUUUAAGGAUUUUCGUAUAAAAAUUUAUGCAGUGUCAAAAAAUAUAAGAAACUGUAAUAGGAUAGACACGAUAAACGCGUAAUAUAUAAUUUCGCGGAUAUAUGGACGGCUCCUCUCGUAAUCGUUCCAGAUCUAAAGGUCAAUGGGUAAUGAUGCAGCCAGUUAAUAAAUAAGAUACUCAUUACGUACCGACACCGUCUGCCAAAAGCUAAGUACACUGUGAUUGUAUUGUAAUUUAUAUUCUUUCGAUAUCGAGUGAAUUUUUAUCAUUAUUUCCAAACAAUGUUGAAAAUAAUUUUCGAUGAAAGAAACUUGAACUCUUUUAACUCAAAAACUUUCUACCUUUCCAGUUUUAUUAUUCGAUCGAUACGAAUUUCAAAUUUGCAACUUUAUUAUCGGAGAAAUCAAAAUCUGACUUCAGAAGAAAUCUUCAAUUUCCAAUCGGAUCGUCUACUAUUCGUUACUUCUAUUAUCUAUAACUUAAGCUUCGCAAUCUCCAACGUUCGAAAAAGCGUAGUAGAGGGAUGGCUGCGAAUUGGCGGAAAGAAGAGAAAUAAAACACGAUGAUAAGUCACGGUAUAACCGAAGAGAAAAAGGAGGAAGGGAAAAAGGAGGACCUGUGCACCUGCGUCGAAAAUUUAUGCGUCGUGUACAAGUCACGCGUAUCGUUUCGCGUAACAAAUUGCGUGCACACUUGAUGGAACGUGAUAUUUAUUCGUGAGGGCCUGGAACCAUAACGAAACGAGGCUCAUUUUCACACAAUACACUAUUUUACUUCAUUUCAUCCAAUAAUUAACACCAGCCGCCUAAUAACUAAUGCCCACGCUUUAGGCCUUUAACAACCGCGAGAAAUUAAUUUAAACGAACACUUAAGAUACCUCGCCACCCUAUCAUCCAUCGUCGCUUCAAUUUUCCUCUAGAUAUUCAAUUUGCACGGAGAGAGAGAGAGAUCGCCGAUCUCGAAACUUCGCGCCAUCAGGCGCCGGCUCCUCCAGUGUGUUCAAACCUCGAAACGAAAUCGCGUGUACGAGGUGUUUGUGUCGAUAUCUCGAGAUAACGAGUUGAUUUUCCUCGUGGAAAUAAUUUUAAAUUAUAACGAGCUCCAGGUAUAAUAAGGUGCGAAUUCUACGUUGAAAAUUAUGUUGGAGAAUGAUUUUUAGAAAAAGUUUCUUUUAAAAAUCUUUGCACGAUAUUCUUUAUUACUCUAUAUUCGUGUAAAUAAUUGUAUCUAUCGAUGAUUGCUUGAUUGGAUUACUAGAAAAUUUGGGAAUCGCAAUGAUUUACAGGAAGGGGUAUAAUAAAGAUACAAGGAAGAUCUGGAUGCUCAAUUAGAGAAUACUCGACUCGAUCAAGAUGCAUAUUCAGACAUUCAAAAUCCUUAAGAAACGACAUCUUGGAUUUAUAAACUACGUUUUAUACGUUACAUUCCAGGAAAGCACACAAAGAAGGAAGAUUUCUCAGCACUCGUUUAAGAACUCGAUUCGGUCAAUUACUCUCACGUUUUUCUUCCUUUCGUUUCACCGUUACGCGAAACGUAUUUCACCAACGUUUCGAGAACGUCUCUCCACGAUCCCAGCCGUAAUGGCGGAGAAGCGUUCGCAGGUCUGUUUCCGAGAUAAAAGGAAAACCGGCGAUUGUUCCAGCAUGCACACACACACACACACACACAGCACACGUGGUUGGCGCGCUUUCCUUCGGAAAACUGGAGCAAUUUAUGGGGACCGAAAAUUCGUCGCAAUAUUCGACAUCUGGCUUUUUUCUUCACCGACCCUGGCCUUCCACUCUUGUGAACGGAGAAGCUUGAGCGAGACAAGGAAACGAAGAUUUAUGCCGGCCAAUUGAAAAGUGGAGACUUGCUCUCCUGAACAUAUUGGCAAGGGAAGAGAAAUUGCGCUUAUCCUUGGAGGGAAACACUUUAAAAAUUUAUCCUUUUCUCCUUUUUUAGCCAAUAUUGGAAUGAAACGAAGGAAUCGAAAAGAAUUCUUCUGAUAUAUUUCUAAUAUGUUUCGAUGGUUUUGAUUAAAUUUAAAGUUAUGACAAAGGAUCCUGUAUUUUCGUGGUCAAUCUCAAAGGAGCAACAACGAGGUCGUAAAAUUCGGUUUUCCGUCGGUUCUCGGCCCGCAAAAGGGGCCGAGGUCGGAAUCGGGGGCCGAGUGAAUGGGCACAAAAGAAAACAGAGGCAUGAAAAUUGUGUGGCAUGCAAAAGGUACUCACCGACUUGGCCGACAAUGCCCCGGGACAGGGUGGAAAGUCGAACUGCGACGACAAGCUGCUUCCUCGUCCGUCGUGAGACGCAAACUGGCCGCUCGACCGCACCGAACCCGUGUUUCUAAGCUAAUCCACAAAAACUUUAUUGCACGAUUGCGAUCGAACUGAUUUUUGUGAGCGUGCCGCGACACAACGAGCCGUCAUAAACAAUACAAGAUGAAAAUUGUCGACAAGAUUGUAGAUCGGAUGGUUUUCAAAUUAUCGUAUCAUUGUCUCUAUUCGAGAUUAGAUUAGAUUGGAAAUUUUUCUUUAAUUCUUUAAAUUUUUUAGAGUAUAAUCGCGCAACAUGAUGUUAGAACGGUGUGAAAAAUGUUUUUAAUUUCAUGAAAGGUAGGAAGAAAAGUAUUAUUUCUAUUUGUACAAAAGACUCUACUUCAAUUGAACUUGUUCAAAUCGAAACUGAUGUAUUUGAAACGGAAUCUUUUGCGUUAUAGAGAAACCUACAGAUUCUUCCUUUACAGAUUCAACGUACUCCAAAUGAACUAAUAAAGAUAAAUCUACACCAAA